rnacentral:lncRNA from 1 species
AUGAGGGAGCUGAAGAGUGUGUGCGCCCUGGAGAGGUCCAACACUUUAUCAAAUCCAGAAAACCAGCAGCUGAAGAAACGCAAGAAAGGACAUCAAAUAAAAACAAAAGCUGCAGUAACAGACCCAGACACUAAAGGAAUAGAAUACAUCGAUGAAAGAGUGGAUGAAGAGAACACCAACAAGGACGAAGAAACGAUUUCCGAAGAAGACGAAGAGAGCGACACAGAAAAAGAGGACGACCCAAACGCCCUUCACAUCAACAGAGUCACCUUGACAAAGAGCCCCAAAGAAAACAAGAGAGUGCGGUUACGACUGUGCCUCGAAAUUACCCACCCUGCUCUCAAACUUCCUGUCUAUCGCACCUGGACGGGUAAGAUGCUCUGUGACGUUCACUUCAACCAGAAGACAUGUAGUGACAUCUAGAGGCACAAAUGACAAACUGCAAUCAAUCAGUUUCCACAUUUUAAUGAAAGCAUUGAGAAGAAAUAUAAAAAUUUUAACUUUAUCACAAAUGUUCCUAAAAGGAAAACUAUGACACUAAAACAAUUCAUUUCUGUUAGUAACUAUACAAUAAAAAAAAAUAAACAGCACAUUCAGCGUUUUAAAUCCCAGUGGUCUUUUAAUUAUGAUUAUGCAGUUUUCAGGCUAAAUAAACAAAGCCUGUGUCAUUUUCUAAUACACAGUAUCUACAGAGCGGCAAGAAAUUUGCCUUCUCAAAUGGGCCAUCCCUCAUUUCCCAUCAUCCCUUUGUUUACAUGGUCUUCUGCCAGCUUAAAGCCCCUCACAUCCUCAUGGUAACAUUGCUAGCACAAAAACAAAAUGUUUAGCAAUAUUGGAGCUGUCCAGCCGUACAUUUUUGCGCCAGAUAUCAACUCAGACGAGUAAAUAAAGAAACAUACAUGGAUCUAGUCAUACGGAAGCCAAUUCCGGCCUACCCUACUUUUUUUUAUCCUUUUUUCACGAUAAUGAGAUCCACUUGCACGUUAUCAAGAGAAAAUAAAUGUAGCAUCACACUUUGCCUUUGCCACACUAAGCCGCCGAGAUUUAACUGGUUUAAUGUCUAUUUAUUUUGUGGUUAAUGUUGGCCACACCUAACUUACACUGACAACUCUCAACAACAGCAAAGAAAACUCACCAAAAAGUGUUUUUUUGUGUAUUUUUUCAUUUAUUAGUGUAUCUAUGCACCUCAAAUGCCUUAAUUUCAUUUCAUGCCACAGCCCCCUCCCUUUAUUUCCCUAAAACCCCUGAAAAAGCAGGUUGAAUGGAAGAAACCAGGGUCAACAAGGGUCUCCGCGUGGUGUGUUCACCGAGUUCCGGACAUUAGCAGAUCCAAACAGCCACUCAGCCCAACUCAGUCCACUAUAAUAAUACUUUUUUCGUUUUUAUACAAUACGCAGCAAAGAAAAGCAUUUUGUCCAAAACCAAAGCGAUAAACUGCUUUGUUUUGCUGCGGAUUGUAGACAAAUGACAAAAGUGUAUUCUAGCGGACAGAGUGGGGUUGUUUGACCCUGGGUUCUUCCAUUCAACGUGUUAUUGGUGGUUUUAAGGGAAAUGAAGAGAGGAAUGUUUUUGCAUGAAACAGAAUUAGGGCAUUUGAGGAGCUGCAUCAAAAAAUAGUCUGAAAAACAACUUUUGGGGAGUGUUUUCUUCUGCUGUUUUUGCUGCUAAACUCAAAAUAAAGAGACUUAAAACAUGUAAAGUUUUGUUGUCUCAGUGCAGAAAAGGGAGUUAUCACAAGAAAACAGAAUUUUGUUUUCUCAUGUUACAAGAUAGUGGAUCUAAUCAUCAUGACAGAACCAUAAAAAAUGUAGGGUAAGCUGUUUUCAGCUUCCAUAUAGUCCUUUGCAAGUGAAGUGGAGUGAAGCAGGGAGCUUGCGGCUUGCCGUAGUAGCUUAUGCGUCGGCUUUUUCCAACAGCAUUUUUUAGUUUGACAAUAAUUUGAAUAAUCAGAAGUUGAAUUUUUAAGAUUAAUUUUCUUAAUGUGUGUCAUCCAUCGUGAGAAAAAAGGCCACAAGAACAUCAUGAAAACACCAAAAAUCUAUUUUCAUUGGAGUGGUUUUUAAGGAUGUACUAAGAUAUUCCCAGUUUUUUGCUUUAUUGCAUGAAUUCAAAGUAAAUAUUCAACCCAAUUGGAAGUUAGCUCAUGCUUGUAUCCUCUUUUUCAGAACCCAAUGAGGAAAUUUCACCAUCUGCAUAAAAGCUUUACAGGACUGCUUCCCCUCUUUCAUUUAACCCUCAUAUAAGUGCAAAAUAUUUAUCAUUCAAGUUAAUAUGAAGUCUAAGGUAUCUUGGUGUAUCUGAUGUGACAACUUUGGUUUUAUCUUAUUACCUUUCAGUUUAUUUAAUACACAUAAUAUUAGUCUCUUUUUUUUUUCUUUUUACAAAAUGUCAUAUUUUUGUACAAAUAAUUUUACAACUGUCCAUUUGUUUGAUUUUUACUUAAUCUAAUGAACGUUGAAUGAAUUCUGAAAAUAAAAUUCAAUCAUUUUGAUCCAGAAAAGGUCUCAUUUUAACUGCUGCAGCCACCUUUUAAACUGCGUUGCCACUGUGCAAAGUUAUCAUCUGUUUAUAGACUGUAGCUGAAAGUAGUUCUUGUUUCUGAAAGCACUUCUCUUUUUUUUACGGCUUCACAGUUUGAUGCAGAAGAGCUGCUGCCCUGUUGGGGUUGACCACAGAUGUGUUUCUCUUACGCACAAAUAAAGCACAGUUCCUGGCCCUAGACAUGAAGCAGGUCCUAUAAGGAGGUCACAAAGAGCACACUGAUACUGUCAUGAUUCAGUGCUUAGGUUUUGUCAUGUUCUGUUUUCUAUCAGUUUCACCACGUUCAGGUUAAUCAUCCACAGCUGUCUUCAUUUAGUUAAUCAACCUCAGUGUAUUUAAGUGUCUGGUUUUUCAGUUUCUCAUUGUCAGGUCAUCUGCUCUUCUGUGUUCUGUCAUGGCACUGGGUUGUGCGCCUGGUUUUUUUUG